rnacentral:pre_miRNA from 1 species
GUGUUCCCGAGAGUUCCCUUGACCACUUCAUGAGGGCUUAAUUACUUCAUUUUUGAUGUCCUGCUGAAGUGUUUGGGGGAACUCCUGGGCCUUU